rnacentral:rRNA from 1 species
CCGGUAAACGGCGGCCGUAACUAUAACGGUCCUAAGGUAGCGAAAUUCCUUGUCGGGUAAGUUCCGACCUGCACGAAUGGCGUAAUGAUGGCCAGGCUGUCUCCACCCGAGACUCAGUGAAAUUGAACUCGCUGUGAAGAUGCAGUGUACCCGCGGCAAGACGGAAAGACCCCGUGAACCUUUACUAUAGCUUGACACUGAACAUUGAGCCUUGAUGUGUAGGAUAGGUGGGAGGCUUUGAAGUGUGGACGCCAGUCUGCAUGGAGCCGACCUUGAAAUACCACCCUUUAAUGUUUGAUGUUCUAACGUUGACCCGUAAUCCGGGUUGCGGACAGUGUCUGGUGGGUAGUUUGACUGGGGCGGUCUCCUCCUAAAGAGUAACGGAGGAGCACGAAGGUUGGCUAAUCCUGGUCGGACAUCAGGAGGUUAGUGCAAUGGCAUAAGCCAGCUUGACUGCGAGCGUGACGGCGCGAGCAGGUGCGAAAGCAGGUCAUAGUGAUCCGGUGGUUCUGAAUGGAAGGGCCAUCGCUCAACGGAUAAAAGGUACUCCGGGGAUAACAGGCUGAUACCGCCCAAGAGUUCAUAUCGACGGCGGUGUUUGGCACCUCGAUGUCGGCUCAUCACAUCCUGGGGCUGAAGUAGGUCCCAAGGGUAUGGCUGUUCGCCAUUUAAAGUGGUACGCGAGCUGGGUUUAGAACGUCGUGAGACAGUUCGGUCCCUAUCUGCCGU